GACCAGACUCCUACGGGAGGCAGCAGUCGGGAAUAUUGCGCAAUGGAGGAAACUCUGACGCAGUGACGCCGCGUAUAGGAAGAAGGUUUUCGGAUUGUAAACUAUUGUCGUUAGGGAAGAUAAAAGACAGUACCUAAGGAGGAAGCUCCGGCUAACUACGUGCCAGCAGCCGCGGUAAUACGUAGGGAGCAAGCGUUAUCCGGAUUUAUUGGGUUUAAAGGGUGCGUAGGCGGACAGUCAAGUCAGCGGUAAAAAUGCGGUGCUCAACGCCGUACAGCCGUUGAAACUGGCAGUCUUGAGUGGGCGAGAAGUAUGCGGAAUGCGUGGUGUAGCGGUGAAAUGCAUAGAUAUCACGCAGAACUCCGAUUGCGAAGGCAGCAUACCGGCGCCCGACUGACGCUGAGGCACGAAAGCGUGGGUAUCGAACAGGAUUAGAUACCCUAGUA
rnacentral:rRNA from 1 species